CCUACGGGAGGCAGCAGUGGGGAAUAUUGCACAAUGGGCGAAAGCCUGAUGCAGCAACGCCGCGUGAAGGAAGACGGUUUUCGGAUUGUAAACUCCUGUUUUUAGUGGAGCAUAAUCACGGUAACUAAGGCGCAAGCCACGGCUAACUACGGACCAACAGCCGCGGUAAUACGUAGGUGGCAAGCGUUGUCCGGAAUUACUGGGUGUAAAGGGAGCGUAGGCGGGAAGCCGAGUCAGCUGUGAAAUCUACGGGCUUAACCUAUAGACUGCAGUUGAAACUGGCGUUCUUGAGUGAGGUAGAGGUAGGCGGAAUGCGGGGUGUAGCGGUGAAAUGCAUAGAUAUUCGGGAGAACAACGGUGGCGAAGGCGGCCAACCGGGGUUUAACUGACGCUGAGGCACGAAAGUGUGGGGAGCGAACAGGAUUAGAUACCCGAGUAGUC
rnacentral:rRNA from 1 species